rnacentral:rRNA from 1 species
GACGAACGCUGGCGGCGUGCUUAACACAUGCAAGUCGAACGGAGAGGCCCCUGUUGGGGGGUACUCGAGAGGCGAACGGGGGAGUAACACGUGAGUGCCCCGCGCUUGACACUGGGAUAACAUCAGUAAACAGGGGCUAAUACCGGAGAGGAGCGCCCGCGGCACGGGGGGGGUUGGAAGGUUGGGGGGGUGGGGGAGGGAGUCGCGGCUUAUCAGCUCGUUGGUGGGGGAGUGGCUAACCAAGGCGCUGACGGGUAGCCGGCCUGGGGGGGGGCCCGGCACAUUGGGACUGGGAUACGGCCCAGACUCCUACGGGAGGGAGCCGUGGGGAAUAAUUGACAAUGGGUGGAAGCCUGAUGCAGGAACGCCGUGGGCGGGAUGACGGCCCUCGGGUUGUAAACCGCUUUCGCUCAUGACGAAGCUGUGUGUGACGGUAGUGGGUAAAGAAGCACCGGCUAACUACGUG